AUUGAACGCUGGCGGCAGGCCUACCCAUGCAAAUCGAACGGGUGGCGGACGGGUGAGUAAUGUCUGGGCAACCGCCCGCUGGAGGGGGAUAACUACUGGCAACGGUAGCUAAUACCGCCUACCAUCGGAUGCUCCCAGGUGGGAUGAGCUAGUAGGUGGGGUAACGGACCACCUAGGCGACGAUCCGUAGCUGGUCUGAGAGGAUGACCCGUCACACUGGAACUGAGACACGGUCCAGACUCCUACGGGAGGCAGCAGUGGGGAAUAUUGCACAAUGGGCGAAAGCCUGAUGCAGCCAUGCCGCGUGUAUGAAGAAGGCCUUCGGGUUGUAAAGUACUUUCAGCGAGGAGGCGUUACUCGCAGAAGAAGCACCGGCUAACUCCGUGCCAGCAGCCGCGGUAAUAC
rnacentral:rRNA from 1 species